CCCAAACAGGGUGAGUUUAUCAAAUCGUGUUCUCCGGGGUGUUUGUCUCCCCGAGUCGGUUCAAUUCACUGAGCACCGUUCCACUCUAUUGCUGUCUGCCAAGGCCGUCCAGGCUUUUAAAGGCAGGCUGAGAGGCAGAGGAGACCAACAGGUUCCCACUAUUCUAGCGGAAAUCGUGUCCAAAGCCGCUUUCCACCCAAGAACAGGGGACAUCCCAAGAAGGCAGCGGAAGCCUGAAUUCGCGGGACCAGCCGAGGGGGGCCCCACUGCUUUUCUCCUCUUUCCCACGCGCCCACGGCCAACCCCGUCCAAGCCCAGAAACCAGAGAGCAGCGAAGACGCCCGUCCAUCGUCCGGGUCCAGGAGGCCCAGCUGAGAUCUGUUUCAACGCACCCACGUGAGAGGGUUCCCAGUGUGUUUCCCCAGUUGCCAUGGCUUUGCUUUCUGCGUCAGGCGCUCUGUCUGUCAGACACGACAAUUGAAUAAUAUUUUUAUUUUUA